rnacentral:rRNA from 1 species
CAGUAGCCGCGGUAAUACGGAGGGUGCAAGCGUUAUCCGGAUUUAUUGGGUUUAAAGGGUCCGUAGGCGGAUCUGUAAGUCAGUGGUGAAAUCUCACAGCUUAACUGUGAAACUGCCAUUGAUACUGCAGGUCUUGAGUAAAUUUGAAGUGGCUGGAAUAAGUAGUGUAGCGGUGAAAUGCAUAGAUAUUACUUAGAACACCAAUUGCGAAGGCAGGUCACUAAGAUUUAACUGACGCUGAUGGACGAAAGCGUGGGGAGCGAACAGGAUUAGAGACCCCAGUAGUCCCUGUCUCUUAUAA